UGCAGUUUCAGUAACGUUCAGCCCUGUAGUGUGAACGCUUCUCCCAGUUAAUCAGAACAGAUGAGGCUUACCUGGUAACUUCAGAGCACUUUCCUAAGAGUCACUUUGGGACUUCACUGUUUUAUAUCAUGUCAUAUUUUGUCCUUUCUGGUGUUGAAGACAAUAAAGGUGAACAUAGAAUACAGACCAAUAAAAGUUGAAAACAAGCAGUAGCAACUUAAAUGCCCAAGAACAGUCAUUAUUUAGCUGAGUGCAAAGUAGCUAUCUGUCAAAUGAUAGACUGAUUAAGAAUAUACAAAAAAACUAGAAGGGCACACAAAGACUACACACCAGUUUUGGUGUAAUGAUGGUUAACCAAGUCAGAUUUCUGGUUUCACCAUUCAGAUCCCUCUGAUGUUAUAAAGAAAUAGUGUUAGAGGCUAGAGAUAAAAGGAAAACUAUCUUUCAGCGUAAUAACAGCCAACCUUUAUUGCCUUCGGCAACAGACAGACAACAAGCAAAAUUUUUACUUGGCUUGCCGUCAAAUCUUUGUGAUGUCACAAGGCAAGACUAUAAAGAGAUUAAAAACACACAUAAAGCACUGCCAGGGUAAUAACAACCAA